UACGGUCAAAUCACGCUGAAACACCGGUUCUCGUACAAUCACCGAAGUUAAACAACGUAGAGCCAGGUCAGUACUUAGAUGGGGACCGCUUGGGAACACCUGGUACUGUAAG
rnacentral:rRNA from 1 species